AGAGGCUGGCAGAGGAGGCGCUGGCAGAGACGCCAGUGACGCAAAGAGUUGCCCUCCCUCUCUGGUUUCUUAUGGCGGCUGGUUUCCUUCCAUCUUUUUCAAAUAACGCAUUUCCACUUAGCUGGUGCCGUCUUCUGGGAUUAAUUAGUGACUGCGCAAGGUACACGGGGUUUCCGCGGCCGGCACCUCUUGACAGACGGCAGUUGGAAAGAAAUGGGAAAUGAUUGCAGAGAUGGAAGAAAAAAAAAGACCUAAAUUAUAGGAACCAACAGUCCCUGUUGCUGGAAAAUGCUGGGGAUCUGGAGUGAAUAAAUAUUCCUGAGAUGAGACGACCGUGACCUUGUGUGGGGAGCUUGGGGCAAUCACCUGGAUAACACGAGCCAGGAGAGGGCAGGGAUGGAAGAAAACAUUUCUGAAGCUCAUUCAUCCUGAAAUGCCUGGGUCAGACAGUUGACUCUGUGGAUGCCGCCAGAAUUCAUCUCAGAGAGAGGCAGGCACAGAGAAAUAUUCCAGCUGAGCGGAGCCACCAGGAAAUGUGCGCUCCACAGAUCAGGCUCCAAGUUGCAGGUGCACACGUGUGUGUACAUGUGUGUGCAUGUAUGUGCAUGUGAAGGCAACAUGACAGCCCUGAGGUGAGGCCCAUCCCCAGGCCUCCCGAGGCUCAGGUGGUCCCUUGAAGGGGGCCUGCAGGCACCCAGCAUGCAGACACACCGCCAUUGAGCCCUCGCGUUGCUAGUCUAAUUCUCUCCGCCUGCAGAGUGGGUGCUGUGAUGCCCAUUGAAGAGAUGAAGAAGCCAAGGCUCAGAGAGGUACAGGAACUUGUCCAGGGUCACAUUCAUUUGGCAGGGCAGCCAGGGUUUAAGCCCAGGUUUUUCUGUAAAGGCUGCGUGUGGCCUGGCCCACGGUAUUUGCAGCCACAGAGCAGGCUGCGUUUUAAAUCCACCAAGGGCAGCAGGGGGGCUGGGCGGGAGCAGCGUCCCUGGGGCUCACGGAAGCGCCGAGCGCCCCCCAGUCCUCACUGGGCUGUGGUGUGGAGCAUGAAGGGCUAAUUUCAUGGCUGAUAAAACUCUCUAUGCACGAGACUUCACAGACAAAUGAGAGCACUGCUCUGCUCCUUUUCAUGAGGACAUUUAUUUUCUCCUUUCCUUGGGAAGGCACUUCUUCCGGCCUUCCUCAGUCCUGGCCCCUGCAGCUGUGCAAAGGAGGAUCAGGGCUUCUGUGAUGGAAGUGCAGACACCAGGACAGAAAAGUGGCUGGUUCAGGGAGGAGGGCCGGGCCAUGCUCCCUGCUGGGAGCAGAUGGGGCCAAGAGGGAGGCUGGUGGGAGGAUCUGGGUAGCUCUGAAGGAUGCUCCGUGUUAUCCUGAAGGGGCGCAUCCUCAUCGGGUUUGAAACAAUGGGACUUGGUUCAAUGGAGAAAUGAUCUCAUCAGCCUGUUUCUCCUCAUGGCCUUCCCCAG
rnacentral:lncRNA from 1 species